rnacentral:ncRNA from 1 species
UAAUAUCUGUAGAGCAGGGAAGUAAAUUUGGAUUCUUUAAAGAGAGACUCUGGUUGGUGAGAAGAGUUAAGUAUGAAAAAUUGAAAAUGGCCUGGGAGGAUAGUAUGUCGAUAAGUAGGCAUACUCGGAGGUUCAACCGUUAAAAAGAACACCGAUCUUUCAAACAUGAAAUGUCGGACUAAGGGAAGGUUUAACUUCUGAACAAAAGGUGGUAACACGAAUAUUCGUCCUUUUA